rnacentral:rRNA from 1 species
UGGGGAAUUUUGGACAAUGGGCGCAAGCCUGAUCCAGCCAUGCCGCGUGCGGGAAGAAGGCCUUCGGGUUGUAAACCGCUUUUGUCAGGGAAGAAACGGCUUUCUCUAAUACAGAGGGCUAAUGACGGUACCUGAAGAAUAAGCACCGGCUAACUACGUGCCAGCAGCCGCGGUAAUACGUAGGGUGCAAGCGUUAAUCGGAAUUACUGGGCGUAAAGCGUGCGCAGGCGGUUAUGCAAGACAGAUGUGAAAUCCCCGGGCUCAACCUGGGAACUGCAUUUGUGACUGCAUAGCUAGAGUGCGGCAGAGGGGGAUGGAAUUCCGCGUGUAGCAGUGAAAUGCGUAGAUAUGCGGAGGAACACCGAUGGCGAAGGCAAUCCCCUGGGCCUGCACUGACGCUCAUGCACGAAAGCGUGGGGAGCAAACAGGAUUAGAUACCCUGGUAGUCCACGCCCUAAACGAUGUCAACUGGUUGUUGGGUCUUCACUGACUCAGUAACGAAGCUAACGCGUGAAGUUGACCGCCUGGGGAGUACGGCCGCAAGGUUG